rnacentral:rRNA from 1 species
UCUGGCGACUAUAGUGAGUGUGACCCACCUGAUUCCAUCUCGAACUCAGAAGUGAAACCGCUUCACGCCGAUGAUAGUGCUUUGCGCGAAAGUAGGUCAUCGCCAGAC